rnacentral:rRNA from 1 species
AGUGAACGCUGGCGGUAGGCCUAACACAUGCAAGUCGAACGGCAGCACAGUAAGAGCUUGCUCUUACGGGUGGCGAGUGGCGGACGGGUGAGGAAUACAUCGGAAUCUACUUUUUCGUGGGGGAUAACGUAGGGAAACUUACGCUAAUACCGCAUACGACCUACGGGUGAAAGCAGUGGAUCUUCGGACCUUGCGCGAUUGAAUGAGACGAUGUCGGAUUAGCUAGUUGGCGGGGUAAAGGCCCACCAAGGCGACGAUCCGUAGCUGGUCUGAGAGGAUGAUCAGCCACACUGGAACUGAGACACGGUCCAGACUCCUACGGGAGGCAGCAGUGGGGAAUAUUGGACAAUGGGCGCAAGCCUGAUCCAGCCAUACCGCGUGGGUGAAGAAGGCCUUCGGGUUGUAAAGCCCUUUUGUUGGGAAAGAAAAGCAGCAGGUUAAUACCCCGCUGUUCUGACGGUACCCAAAGAAUAAGCACCGGCUAACUUCGUG